AGCGAACGCUGGCGGCAGGCCUAACACAUGCAAGUCGAACGACCUCUUCGGAGUUAGUGGCGGACGGGUGAGUAACACGGGGGAACGUGCCUUUUGGUACGGAAUACCUCAGGGAAACUUGUGCUAAUACCGAAUGUGCUCUUCGGGGGAAAGAUUUAUCGCACUUAGUGCGGCCGGCGUCUGAUUAGCUAGUUGGUGAGGUAACGGCGGAUCAAGGCGAGGUUCAGUAGCUGGUCAGAGAGGAAGACCAGCCACACUGGGACUGUGACACGGCCCAGAAUCUUACGGGAAGCAGCAGUGGGGAAUCUUGCGAAAUGGGCGAAAUCCUGACGCAGCCAGGGCGGGUGAAUGAUGAAGGUCGGAGAAUAGUAAAAUUCUUUCACCGGGGACGAUAAUGACGGUACCCGGAGAAGAAGCCCCGGCUAACUUCGUG
rnacentral:rRNA from 1 species